UACGGGGGGAGCAAGCGUUGUUCGGAUUUACUGGGCGUAAAGGGCGCGUAGGCGGCCACCGCAAGUCGACUGUGAAAUCUCCGGGCUUAACUCGGAAAGGUCAGCCGAUACUGCGGGGCUAGAGUGCAGAAGGGGCAACUGGAAUUCUCGGUGUAGCGGUGAAAUGCGUAGAUAUCGAGAGGAACACCUGCGGCGAAGGCGGGUUGCUGGGCCGAUACUGACGCUGAGGAGCGAAAGCGUGGGGAGCGAACAGG
rnacentral:rRNA from 1 species